CCUACGGGAGGCAGCAGUGAGGAAUUUUGGUCAAUGGGCGCAAGCCUGAACCAGCCAAGUCGCGUGAGGGAUGACGGUCCUAUGGAUUGUAAACCUCUUUUGUCGGGGAGCAAGGCCCGCCACGUGUGGCGGGAAGGAGAAUACCCGAAGAAAAAGCAUCCGCUAACUCCGUGCCAGCAGCCGCGGUAAUACGGAGGAUGCAAGCGUUAUCCGGAUUUAUUGGGUUUAAAGGGUGCGUAGGCGGAAGGUUAAGUCAGCGGUCAAACCGCGGUGCUCACCACCGGACGGCCGUUGAAACUGGUCAUCUAGAGUAAGCGAGAAGUAUGCGGAACGCGUGGUGUAGCGGUGAAAUGCAUAGAUAUCACGCAGAACUCCGAUUGCGAAGGCAGCAUACCGGCGCUCAACUGACGCUGAGGCACGAAAGCGUGGGGAUCGAACAGGAUUAGAUACCCGUGUAGUC
rnacentral:rRNA from 1 species